UUGGCGUGUUCAGACGUGGUUGGGCCUCUGUUUCGGCCAGUUUCGAGGCGAGAAGUGCAGCGUCUGUGUUUGUUACACGUGUAAUCAUAGCAUUCCCCUGGUUGCGGUGGCUUCGCGGUGCAAUGGCAAAUUCCAAACCUAAAAAGAGGGGUCUGUGGCUGAAGGCGACAUGGCAAAGGGAGGAGAGGAGGAACGUCCUGCGCAAGUGGCAUGCCCCCUACCACCGAAUGGCUGUAGAGGGACAAGCAGCAGCAAGUGCGCACCAGUCG